UUAUUGAAAUAGAACGUUUUGGAAAGAACGACCAAAGACGGUGAUAGUCCGGUAUAUGACUCAAUAAUGAAGCCUAGUGGUAUCCUGAGUAGCGCGGGACACGUGAAAUCCUGUGUGAAUUAGCGGGGCCCAUCCCGUAAGGCUAAAUACUCCCGAGAGACCGAUAGUGAACCAGUACCGUGAGGGAAAGGUGAAAAGAACCUUGAAUAAAGGAGUGAAAUAGACCCUGAACCCGUCUGCCUACAAGCGGUCGGAGCACCUUUUGGGUGUGACGGCGUGCCUUUUGCAUAAUGAACCUACGAGUUACUUUUGUUGGCAAGGUUAAGUACUUCAGGUAUGGAUCCGAAGCGAAAGCGAGUCUUAAUAGGGCGCAUUAGUCAGCAGGAGUAGACGCGAAACCAAGUGAUCUACCCAUGUGCAGGUUGAAGGUUAGGUAACACUAACUGGAGGACCGAAUCGUUUGGCGUUGAAAAGCCUUCGAAUGACGUGUGGGUAGGGGUGAAAGGCUAAUCAAACUUGGAGAUAGCUCGUACUCCCCGAAAUGCAUUUAGGUGCAGCCUCAAUUGAUUUUUUGUAUCAGGUAGAGCGACUGAUUGGAUGCGAGGGCUUCGCCGCCUAUCAAGUCCAGAUAAACUCCGAAUGGGUACAAAAUUAGAUUGGGAGUGAGGGCAUGGGUGCUAAGGUCCAUGUCCGAGAGGAGAAGAAUCCAGACCAUCAGCUAAGGUCCCGAAAUAACAGUUAAGUUGAACUAACGAAGUAUGGUCGCAAUGACAGCUAGGAUGUUGGCUUGGAAGCAGCCAUUCAUUUAAAGAGUGCGUAACAGCUCACUAGUCGAGUGACCGUGCGUGGAUAAUACUCGGGCAUAAACUGUUUACCGAAGCUAUGGAUGUCGUAAGACGUGGUAGGGGAGCAUUCUACUCUGCGUUGAAGGUGAGGGAUAACCCUUGUUGGAGCGUGUAGAAAAGCAAAUGUAGGUAUAAGUAACGAUAAAGGAGGUGAGAAACCUCCUCGCCGAAAGACUAAGGAUUCCUGAUCAACGCUAAUCGGAUCAGGGUAAGUCGGGCCCUAAGGUUAAGCCGAACGGCGAUACCGAUGGACGAACGGGUUAAUAUUCCCGUACUACUUUAUAGAGUGAUGUGGGGACGGAGAAGUGACACCACUGCCAUCUGACGGAAUAGGUGGUUAAAGAGUGUAGACGUUGAUUGUUGUAGGCAAAUCCGCAACAAGAGUCGAACUUGACAGUACCAGGAGUGCUUGCACGAAUGGAUAUGUGGGUAAUCAGGCUCCCAAGAAAAUCCGCUAAACUUAUCUAUAGAGUACCCGUACCGUAAACGGACACACGUAGUCGGGUUGAGAAUACUAAGGCGCUCGAGUGAU
rnacentral:rRNA from 1 species